CCAGAGAGGUCCAAAGGGUGUGAUCGGUGCAGCCUCCUGGUGCGUUGACUGGUGUCCAGCAGGUCUUGUGCCAGGUUGUUUGGGUGGUCUUGAAGCCUCUGCAUGUACUGCCUGCUGCUUUUCUUAAUCUCAUCCUUCACCCAGGGGAAGCUGAGGACCUCGUGUAUAGUGGCAUUAUCGUGGAAAGGUGCCCCACAGUUGAAUGCCAUACGUCCAGAUUGGCCUUAUGAUCGCUUUGUAGAUAAGGAGCUUAGUGGAAGUCGGUAGCUUAGAUUGUCUGCCCAUCAGCCAGUAGAAUUCACGGACUCGGUUCUCCGCCUGUUUCCGCUUCUUUAGCAGGUGUGGUCUCCAUGUAAGUCUCCUGUCCAGUGUAAAGCCAAGAUAAUUUGGAUUGGCUACCUCUGGGAUUGGGAACCCGUUGAAACUGACUGGUGGGCAAGUGCCGCGUCUAGUUGCGAAGGUGGUAGCGGUUGACUUGUCGCUGUUUACCGAUAUAUUCCAUCUCGUGUGCCACGUGUUCAGUAGAUCUAGUUGUUCCUGCAUAGUCUGGGAGGCCUCUGCUGGGGUAUCUGCUGUUGUUAGGAACGCAGUAUCAUCGGCGUAAGUGGCUGCCAUAAUGUACUGGCUCGGUAUCACCGGCAGGUCAGCCGUAUACGCGUUGUAGAGGAGCGGACCGAGAACGCUUCCUUGGGGAACUCCUGCACGGGCUUCUUUGACGUCUGAGCGCGCUUCUCCACACCUGACGGCGAAUCUUCUGCCCUCCAGGAACGAUUUUAAGAACUUGAAAUAUGGCUGGGGCAGGCCGUUUUUGAGCUUUAGGAGGAGACCGGGGUGCCAAACACGAUCAAAGGCUUGCUUAAUGUCCAGCAUUACUGCUAGGCAGUAUUUCUUAUUCUCAAAGGCGUCCAGGAUAUAUUGCGCUACUCGGUGGCCUUGCUCUGGUGUCCCGUGGCGGCGCCUAAAGCCAAACUGGUGAUCAGGGAUCAGACCAGCCUCCUCAAUCACCGGCAAUACUCUGGUCAAAAAUACUCUUUCGAGUAUCUUGGAGAGUACUGGUAGUAGGCUGAUCGGGCGGUAGGAGGCGGGAUUGGCUUCGUGUUUACCAGGCUUCAGGAUCAUAACUACUUCGGCGCGUUUCCAUGAUGAAGGGAAGUGCCCCAAUUGCAAGCACUUAUUUAUUAUGGUCGUGAUUAGUGACUUGCUAAUAGGGGGGAGGAGCUUUAAAGCAAUGGCAUUGAUGGCAUCAUCGCCUGGAGCCUUGUGGUUACCCAUUGCCGCUAUUAAAUUGCUGAUUUCCUCUUCCGUGGCCUGGGGUAUCGACUCGGAGUCAAAGAGAGGUUCUGACAGGAGCCUGGCUGUUUCGGCUGCUUCAUUUGGGGAACAUCGAUUGGCUGGUGUGAAGACUUCCUCCAAGUGCUCGGCGAAUGCGUUGGCUCUUUCGGUCUCAGUUCUGCACCAUGAGUUGUCUUGUCUUCUGAUGGGCGGGAUCCUCUUCAGUGGCCUCUUGAUGCGCUUGGUAACAUUCCACAGGUUGUGGUGGGGAUCACCCGGCGCGAGAUUACCAACAAAGCUGUCGAGGGCCUCCUUCCUUAGCCUGACCAGAGUUUCCUUCAGCUCCUUGGUGGCUCUGUUGAGAGCUGUUUUGUCUCUAGGGUUCCUGGAGAGGAACCAAACCCGUCGGAGACGCCUUUUCUCUGACUUGAGCUCAUUAACCCGAGGAUUCCAAAAGUGGACGUCUCUACUUCUGUCCCUCGUUUGGUUAGAGAACCUUGGAGCAGCAUAAGUUGCUGCCUCCUGAAUUUGCGAGGUGAGGUUCACAACGGCCGCAUCUAUAAGUUCAGGGGUAUCCAAUGGUGGAUUAGUGACUGUCGAGUUGUUCAGCCAGUGGUGGUAUUUGCUGAUGUCGGACGUUUUGAAGAUUAACUUUUUACCCGCGGAUCUCAACAUGGCUGAGGCGUAGACCGAAACGGCAAUGGCACUAUGGUCCGAGAGAAGGUCUUCCACCUCCCUGGUCUGGAUUCUUGCCGGGUCCAGGCCGCCAGAGAUCGCAAAGUCCAAGAUGUCUGGAGUUUUUGCAGGGUCAGUGGGCCAGUAUGUUGGCGUCCCAGUUCCGUGGCAAUUGAGGUUGCGGGAGAGAACCUGCCUGCAUAGCGCGCGUCCUUUUGGAUUGCAUACUCUGGAACCCCACCAAGUGUGCUUGGCGUUAAAGUCACCUCCUAUGACGAA